GUAGGAGGCCCACAGACCAACACAGAACAGGCGAGUGCAGAGGGGUGGCAUAAGGAAGCAACACUUGGUUUUCUUUGGGGGCCAGAGGCACAUUCCUGAAAGUGAUGAUGGCGGAGUUAGGUUUUCAAAACAAAGAAGAACUUCCCAGAAAGACAAGGGUUUCCUAUUCCCAAAUGAGGGAAGACUAUGCACAGAAGCAAGGAACCACACUAUCUUCUAUAGCAAAUAGUGAGUUUCCAGCCCAGAGUCCCUUUGAGAUUUUUAAUAAGGCAGGAAGAGCUUAUGUCCCCUACUCAGUUCUGUUUCAUCUCGGCAUGGGUUUGCUGGGAAAGGGUUGCAUCAACCUGACCGUUGUUUUCUUCCCUCGCCUGUGAAGGAUGCUGUCCAUUCUGCUGCAGGCUGGAGGACUAGCACCAAGUGCUGUAGAAACAGCCAUGCAGUCCAGACAAACCCGCAGGCCACGAGGGUGAGAGAGUAUUUUAUUUGGCUCUGCAUAAAAAUCGACUGAAAGUUUGGUAUCUGAUUGGAGAAAAUGAAUAUUCAUGAGCUCCAAGCUUUUAGACAAUGGAUUAGUUUCUAAUUGAGCCCUUGUGCUCAGAUAGGACACAGAAAAGGGAUAAGAGAAUGUGCACCAGUCUGCUUCACUGUGAGUGGCUGAUCUGAGCAGUAGAGAAGCGUCUGAGCCUGUUUCCGUGGGAAGGCAGGCAAGAGCUGGGGCAGAGAGGAAGAGGGGUCAGUGGUCACAGAGGGACAAACUUGGGUCCAAUGCCUCUGUGCACUGGUAGCUGGUAGCCAAUUGUGGUGUGGGAGAACCAUCCAUACCAUGUGACCUCCUCCCAAACUGCAAAAGGCAUUGCCAAGAGACUCUCUGACCCUGCUGCAGCCCAGAUCUGGGCUACACCAGAGCUUCCUGGCCCACAGCUGACCCAAGUUACUGCCCUACUUCAGCUACGUGAAAAUAACCCCCAUUGAAACUCCUACAGGUAACAUGAGUUUAUUCCUCUGAGUCUAAAGGACUUGGGAGGAUUUGGAUGAGGGGUUACAGGUUCUUAUAGUAGUAAGCCCACCAUAAAGCCCUGCCCCACACCACCAAAUCACAUAGGCCAAGCGUCAGAUCCUGUCCUCUGCUGGAUAAUUCUGUCCCUCACCCAUGGUGACGUGCCAGGGUGGUUAUUCAGAGGUUGUUUGGCACUGUUGUAACAGAGGGGCCAUGGCUCUUGUCAGCAUGGGAAGAAAUGCUAUCGAUCCACUUCUUUGGUUGCUGUGGAUCUAAAAGAACCAUUUACCCUAUGGCAUGAUUAACUUUUGAAAGUCAAAAGAUUAGAAAUAAGUUGAUUUUUCCAGGAUGCCGUGCUUGGAGACAGAAGGAGACACAGCCUAUCACAGGCCAGGACACCAUGCUUUCUCAUAAGUGUGAAUUUUACAUUUUAGGUCAAGAGAAAGAAAGCCCUUCUUGACUAUUCAACAGGUGAGGAAAUGUUUUCCCCUCACUCAUUUUACCCAUGUGGGUCUGCAGAGGCCCUCCAUUGGUUGGCACUGCUGCAGCUGACUCUGAGCAUGGAGGAAACAGGUCUUCUUAUAUCUUCUCUCAUCACUGAGCCCAAAUAAACCCUUGAUCUAAGACCAUAAAAUUCAAGGAGUCUGAGAAGAUAAGUCUGUGUUCUCCACACCCAUAGAAAGGACAGGGCAUCCAGGCUCUAAACCUGAUAGGACAUCAUAUCUGUCCCACAUUGAAAGGGGUGAUUUAAUACAAGCUCAUGAGUUGCCAUCUGUGCCCACUUCUCUGUGCACCACAACCUGAAAAAGCUUAUACACCAUAACAUACUUAGUCC
rnacentral:lncRNA from 1 species